UUUAAACGUCGCCGGACGGAACAACAGAUGGCGGUGGCGGGUUUGUUGGAUAAAACUACAAAGACUUUGGAUGUCCAGCGCAUCAUCGACAACUUUGCCUCCAGUCACAAAAACCGGAGGAUUGUACUUCUGUGAAAAUCAGCCUGGUCAGCGCUGCUCCACACAAUGCCGCCGUCAGGAGACACAGGAGGAGCUCCUUCUUCUUCUACUCUUUAUAAAGAUAUGGGAGCUGUGCCAAUAUCUGCUUCCUGGUGCAGGAGGGGGAGGGGCUUAAGUGUUUAAGCCCCUCUCUCAUUUUAAUGCCUCAUGAUAAGCACAUGAGGGCUGGGACGAUAUGUGAUAUGCUUCUUUCCUGAGCAUCUGGAGAUGUUUGUGUUGUAACUGGCACUUCAUGUUUACCCUGAGAUGGGCUGAAGCUUCUCUUCCUGCUGGGUGGUGUCAAGUGUCUGAUUCAUGCUGCACUCCAGGGCCUUCACUCUUCCUCCACCCGAUAGAGCCAUUAUGGAGUGAUUCAUGUGUUUCGGUCAAUCCGGGUGAGCACUAAGCUUCUCUGACAUGAACUAUGUUCACCAAAGCUCUGAAUAAGGCUGAAUUAACCACAUAUGUUCAGAAAGGACCAGAUUUCCUUUGUGUUUCCUUCAGGACCUUUUUGUCUCGCGCAGCUUUGUGAAACUCUCAAGUGUCAAGCCCAUUUUCUUUCUGUGUCCAUGAUGGAAACGUUUUUAUUUCCAAAAAACAAUUACAACUGAAUAUGACUCCAAUUUCAAAAUGAAGUCCAUUUUAAUGAUGUAAAAUCCAGUGAAAUGUCCCUGAAACUUCUCCUGUAGCUGUUGCAUUGUGGGUGCUUUUCCAAAGCCCCCUGACAGCACGGCUUUGAGGCUGGUUUGAAACCAGGUAGCGAGCUCUGAGAUCCCAGCUCGACUCUCAGUGAUUAGUUCUGUCUACUUUAAAGAAAUUCAAUUUAAAACAAACAAAAAAAUGUUUCCUUUAAAAUGUUCCCAAUUAGGUGGUUUGGUGGGCCGGUUUAGAGCCUCACGAGGGCCGAUUUUGGCCCACGAGCCUUAUGUUUGACUCGACUGGUGCCAUGUCUUGUAGACACUAAUCAAUAUUUGACUCAUGCUUUUGGACUGUAGCAGGAACUCAUGCACGCACAUGGAGAACAUGCAAACUGCAAUGACAGCGAACACAAGCUGAGCUGAAACCUUCUGUCCGUGAGGCGACAAUGCAAACCACUGCACCCCCGUGUCACAGCAUCACCGAGCGAACACAAACCCACAACGUGCCAUCAUUUACAAAUAAUCAGUCAGACCACCGAUCAGCACCAAUCCAGCUGGGAUGAGCGCCGGAGGAACCAGACAGGUUCGCUCUUCCUCCUCCUCUUCCUCCUCCUCUUCCUCAACAAGUCUCAGAAGGAGUCCAGGAGGUUCCGGCUGUUAUUUACAGCCCCAAACGGAGUGAGGGCCUCAGGGGUUGAUCCAUAUUUCACCGGGAUUUAAAAUGACUCCAGAGUCUGAGGGAACUCAGCUGGCGUCGGUUCAGAGCAAACAUUUAUCUGUCAACGCCGCUCAGCCGAUAAGCAACACACACUGAAUGGCUUUUCACUGAAACAGGAAAAUCAGAUCCCGUUUUCACCUGAAUAACGUGUGUGUGUGUGUGUGUGUGUGUGUGUGUGUGUGUGUUCUACAUGAGAUGACCUGCCUCUCACUCCACUGCUCUCCAGCGCGGAUUCAUCCGAUCAGAUCUGCAGCUUCUCUUCGGAGCAGAUCAGACUCGUCGGGGUGAACAUAUGAGGAGAGACUCGGACUGCUCUGAUCGACAUUCACACACACAUUCUGCAGAAGAGGAGCUCUUCACUUUCAGCUUGUCUCUCUACUCAAACAGAGUGACUCCAUUAAAAAUGAAGCCGCUGUUGCUUUUUGCUGAAAGCUGUUUAGAGGUUGAUUGUUUGAUGGUUCUCCAUGAUCGCUCACAUGUUAGAGCUGCAAGUCUUACUCCAGGAAAUCCAUGAACAGAUUACAAAAAAUACUUGAGGCAAUUUCUUUUUUUUGCGUUUUAGCAGUUUAAUCGUUUAAGGAUUGUGUUCUAGAUGGACUGUAAACAGUGACACACUGUUAAAAACGUUUGCACUAUGGCCGAGAGCGGAGAGGACAGGAGGGAGCGUCUGCUGAAGGCAAAACAUGCAGACCUGCCAACAUCGACAAAACACACCAGCAGCACUUGUGCCAUGUGGCUUUGUUCGCUUGUUUGUUUUUUUGUUUCUUUUUUUAAUAAUAAUUAAAAAACAAAUCAUUUUUAAAACAGUAGGAGUGUGUGUGAGUGUGUGCAGCGGGGGGAUUACUCUCCUGUGCUCACACAAGAUGGUUAAUCGAAGCUAAAACAUUUUUUUCUGAUCUAAACUGUAUAAUCUUUAACAAAAAAGAAAUUUGGUGGUUUAAAAAACUGACUCGCAUUUGUCACAGACUGUUACUUUA